UAGCGAAAUUCCUUGUCGGGUAAGUUCCGACCUGCACGAAUGGCGUAACGAUGGCCACACUGUCUCCUCCCGAGACUCAGCGAAGUUGAAAUGUUUGUGAUGAUGCAAUCUACCCGCGGCUAGACGGAAAGACCCCAUGAACCUUUACUGUAGCUUUGCAUUGGACUUUGAACCAAUCUGUGUAGGAUAGGUGGGAGGCUUUGAAGCGGGGACGCUAGUUCUCGUGGAGCCAACCUUGAAAUACCACCCUGGUUUGUUUGAGGUUCUAACCUUGGUCCGUUAUCCGGAUCGGGGACAGUGCAUGGUAGGCAGUUUGACUGGGGCGGUCUCCUCCUAAAGUGUAACGGAGGAGUUCGAAGGUACGCUAGAUACGGUCGGACAUCGUGUUGAUAGUGCAAUGGCAUAAGCGUGCUUAACUGCGAGACUGACAAGUCGAGCAGGUACGAAAGUAGGACAUAGUGAUCCGGUGGUUCUGUAUGGAAGGGCCAUCGCUCAACGGAUAAAAGGUACUCUGGGGAUAACAGGCUGAUUCCUCCCAAGAGUUCAUAUCGACGGGGGAGUUUGGCACCUCGAUGUCGGCUCAUCACAUCCUGGGGCUGUAGCCGGUCCCAAGGGUAUGGCUGUUCGCCAUUUAAAGUGGUACGUGAGCUGGGUUUAAAACGUCGUGAGACAGUUUGGUCCCUAUCUGCCGUGGGCGUUGGAAAUUUGAAAGGACCUGUUCCUAGUACGAGAGGACCGGAAUGGACUGAUCUCUGGUGGAUCGGUUGUCACGCCAGUGGCAUCGCCGAGUAGCUAAAUCGGGAAGAGAUAAACGCUGAAAGCAUCUAAGCGUGAAACUCGCCUUAAGAUGAGAUUUCCCUUGCACUUUAAGUGCACUAAAGAGUCGUUCAAGACCAGGACGUUGAUAGGUCAGGUGUGGAAGUGCAGUAAUGCAUGAAGCUAACUGAUACUAAUUGCUCGUGAGGCUUGAUCCU
rnacentral:rRNA from 1 species